GACGAACGCUGGCGGCGUGCUUAACACAUGCAAGUCGAACGGCAAGGCCGUGCUAUCGUGCGGUGCCCGAGUGGGGAACGGGUGCGUAACACGUGAGUAACCUGCUCUAGAUUUUGGGAUAAGUUCAGGUAACGGGGGUUAAUCUCGGAUCGGAUCCCCUGUUGCGUGGAGGGGGUUGGAAAGUUUGGGCGGGGGGGGAUGGACUAGCGGCUUAUCGGCUUGCUGGUGGGGUAGUGGCUGACCCAGUCAUAGACUGGUCGCCGACCUGGGAGGGUGGCCGGCGACAUUGCUACUACGAUAGGCACCAGUGUGGUACGGGAGGCAACAGUGGGGAAUAUUGCACAAUGGGCGGAAGCCUGAUGAAGCGACGCCGCGUGCGUGAUGACGGCCUUCGGGUAGAAAACCGCUGUCGCCUGAGACGAAGCGUGAGUGACGGUAAUGGAUGAAGAAGCACCGGCUAACUACGUG
rnacentral:rRNA from 1 species